rnacentral:tRNA from 1 species
GCUAGCGUAGCUUAACCAAAGC